rnacentral:lncRNA from 1 species
CAGCUACCUGCCCUCCUGCAUGAUGCCCUCCUUCUUCCUCUCCCUUCACUAAGUUACCAUCUGGAAUAGAAUCCAGUAGUGAUCCACCAAUGGACAAUUUUUGCUAUGAAGGAGGAAAGAGAGGACAGAUUUGAUUACAACAAAAGCAUCCCAAGAAUGUGUCCUGCAUGAGCUCUUCAGGCUGUGAAAUCUUGAACUUCUACACCCAUCCUUGGCUGGCUUUUUCCAUGUGAGGCCAUAUAGAGAAGAAGAAAGCUGAGGCUCAGAGUGAUCAAGAAUACCCAGCCAGAACGUGGCAUCUGGGACUUCUGUCUCCACUCUGUUACCCACCAGCACCCUUGGGCCCUAUUGCUUGGCUAGAUGGGCACUCUGCAUGUAUCAGGCAUUGUCUGUCACCUGAGUCACUACAUGUAUGACAUCAUAUGUCUAUUACCAG